rnacentral:lncRNA from 1 species
AAGGAAAAAAAAGGAUGUCUACAUUGCAGACUGGUUGUAGGAAAUCAGUUAUUCAGUCAAUAGUCUUUCCUGGGCACCUUGUGCCAGGCACUGCAUUUGGUGCUGAGGAUAGAGUGGAGAACAAAAGACAUACAGCUCAUGACCACAAGAAGAGUAGUUUCAGGAUGAGAACUAAAUGAGGUAGAUAGGUAAUAGGGUGCGAGGCUUAGCUUUUUUCCUCUGGCUCAUUGUGUUCGCUCAGUUAUUUUCCCAAAGGUGGGGGCCUUAUUGUAGUACUCUUUUGUUUGUUUGUUUGUUUGUUUGUGACAGUUUCACUUUUAUUGCCCAGGCUGGAGUGCAAUGGCGUGAUCCUGACUCACUGCAACCUCCGCCUCCUGGGUUCAAGUGAUUCUCCUGCCUCAGCCUCUCAAGUAGUCUCAGUGGGAUUACAGGUGCCCACUGCCACGCCCAGAUAAUUUUUGUAUUUUUAGUACAGACAGGGUUUCACCAUGUUGGCCAGGCUGAUCUCGAACUCCUGGCCUCAGGCGAUCUGCCCACUUUGGCCUCCCUUCCAAAGUGCUAAGAUUACAGGCGUGAGCCACUGAGCCCAGCCUGUACUCAUUUUUUGAAUCCUGAGUGCCAAGCCCAGUGCUAGACACACUGUAGAUUCUCAAUAACUGUUGAACAAAACGAAUCUUCUUCAUUGUACCCCAAGUCAAAGGAGGACUUUAAACACAUAAAGAAAUAACAGAGUUUGGCGUGGUGAGGAUGUAGAGCAUUUCAGGAGGAGGUGAUGACCAGCAUGAUAAGCCUGGCAUUAGGCCAGGUCCUCGUCCCAAGCAAAAGGUAAAUGUAUCAGUUGAGCAAAGGUUUAUUCUAUUUUAUUUUUAAAUUGAAGCUAAUCUCUUGAUAAAACAAAACAAAAAAAGCUUUCUGGUCCCUUUUUCCUUCUAGUCACAUUCACACGUGACUGUCUUUUCUCACAGAAUAAAUCAGUUUAGCUAGGAAGACUGUUUUAAAAUAGAAAUAAAUGCACUUUAUAUCAACAUCACUCUGAGAGAAAAAUAAAAGCAAACCAUCACAAGUUCGAGCCUGUCCAAACUGGGAUAAGAACGAUGGAGGCAAUAAAAUUAUAGGGAGAAGGGAAUUCAGGCACAGGAACAGGAGUCCAGGCCCCCAGGGCAUCACUGGGGAUUUCUGUAUGGGAAGGCCCCCUCAUUCUUCCUGCUGGGGCUGAAACAGCUUGUGGUUUGCAGUCCCGCUGGGAGGGGGCAGAGAGAUCAGAAACCAGACUGGGAGCGGGGAGCAGCUGGUUAUCAUGAACCAUGUAUCAGGCAUUACACAGACCAGCCAGGUCCCUAAUCUCUCCUUGUCUCAUAAAAAUCAGCCCUCUACAGACCUUAUGAGAGAGUGAAAAAAGAGUUGAUGUUGAAAACAAUACUCAAAUGGAAAGCUAGAGGGCUGGAUUUUGGAUUCAACCCUGCUGCUCCUUGAUUGUAUGAUCUUGCUGGACUUACCUCAACUCUGAAUAUCUGUUUCCUCAUUUGUAAAAUAAGAAGCUGGAACUAGAUGAGGUGUGUUAAAUCCCAAGAGUAUUUUGUAAUUUUGUAAUUUUCAGUGUACAAGUCUUGCACUUCUUUUGUUAAAUUUAUUCCUGAGUAUUUUAUUCUUUUUGAUGGUAUUGUAAAUGGAAUGCCCAUUUAGGGAGUAAGGGAGUAGAGGAGUGCCCCUUUACUGUAUCUCAUCCAUGGCAGCAUGACUAAUCAAUCGCCCCCCACUGUCCUUCCAACAAGUUGCCUGAGCUCCUUCACAGACCAGUGUUGCACAGAACCAACACCAAUCAUUUGGAACUGGAGUGCAAAAUACAGCUUACUUGCCAUCCUCGAACAGAUGUACAAGGCUUUCUUAUGUGAUUCUAAAUCAUUUUCUCUAGGUUUGUGCAGGCUUCCCACUGCAGCUGCCAUGCAGCAGAAACUGAAUGAUUCCAUAAAGUCAAGAAAUAACCAUGAUGGCUCUUCGUAAGCGAUCACUGGAGGUCCAGGGCAGUGUUCCCGGCCUGCCUCACAUAGGACGGUGAGGGGUGAGUGGGUUUCACUACAAAUAAAGAUCUUCAAGUGAAUA